UCUGGAUAUGAUAACAAUAUGAUAGCAAUAUAAUAUGAGAAUAGAGGUGUGAGGCCUAGCUUUGGUUUGAUGCUGUAGCUCUUCAGUCCAAGUUCUGUUCUGGUUCUCUUCAGUCCAGGUUCUGUGGUGGUUUUCUUCAGUCCAGGUUCUGUGGUGGUUUUCUUCAGUCCAGGUUCUGUUUUGGUUCUCUUCAGUCCAGGUUCUGUGGUGGUUUUCUUCAGUCCAGGUUCUGUUUUGGUUCUCUUCAGUCCAGGUUCUGUUUUGGUUCUCUUCAGUCCAGGUUCUGUGGUGGUUCUCUUCAGUCCAGGUUCUGUUUUAGUUAUCUUCAGUCCAGGCUCUGUGGUGGUUUUGUUCAGUCCAGGUUCUCUUCAGUUCUCAUAAUUGGAGGGUUGAGCGUCUCCCUGAGGGUCUGUAUCACUGGGGGAGUCCCUCACACU
rnacentral:lncRNA from 1 species